AGAAUUGGCUUCUGCAUUGAGAUCAGAAACAGUAUCCCCUGCAACAUACGUGUCACUUAUUACUGUUAUAUCCAAGAUUGACAGUCUUCAAAAUGAUAUCACAGCCAUUAAAUCCACCUGAUUAGUACUGUUGAUAUUGAUGCCGAAACCAAUGAUAGCCUGUUGCCAGACGGAAAGACGCUGGACUCGACUCAAGAUAUAGAGAGUUUUUAGGACCAUCUGGAUGACAACACCAAGCAGAAGUUGGUAAAUAAUUCAAGUUUUUUUCCACAGACAUUUGGGAAUACCUAUUCAAUAUAGGAAUAUAUAAUCCAAGUAGAGCAUUUGAAUGGGAACUUUGUAUUAUAUCAGAAAAUAACAUUUAUUCAACAAUCAACAACUAUUAAUUCAUAUUCUAAAGAGUAACCAAGUAUUCGGUGUUUUAGAACUUUAAUAUCUGUACUUAUAAGCGGAAGUGAAAAAUUCAUAAACCUUUUUGUAGUAAGCACAUUAAGAUGUCAUAGCGUCCUGUUCUCCUGUAGUUGCAUUGAUUCGGUCCUACACCAGGACAGUUGAAAAUUUCUGUAGUCAUAUCUUGAUUUUUUAAGAUUGCAUGUAUAUUACAAAUAAAUGCACUGGCAUCCUUGGGGAAAUAUGCCGCAUGAUAAUGAGGACUUUAAUGACAAACAACACCAUGAGUCAUUACAACGAAACUGGGAGGAAGGGGAAGUUCCGAUUUAUACACCACCGUACAAAAAUAAUACUCUAAAAGAGGAAACAAAAGACUAGAUGGAAUGAAUAAUGAAUUCCCAGAAGAGUCCGACUAAGACAUGCACCAAAUUUAGAAAGCUUUGGAGAUAUUUUUUGGUCACCUGAGUCAUUCAGAUGACCUAUUGCAAUUGACCAGUGUCCGUCGUCGUGCGAUGAAUGGAACAUUCUAAUUUCUUGAUAACUUCCACCCUAAUUCUUUUCAAAUUUGGUAUGCAUCAUCUUUAGGACAAAGGGGCAUAAAAUGUAAAUUUGAAGACUCUUGCACACCCAGGACCUUAGGGCAUGAGCAAAAAUUGACCAAUUUUCAAAGAUCGUCUUCUCUGCAAUGGCACAUCUGUAAGGAAAACUAAAUUCAUAGUGAUUUAGAGCAUGAAGGCCUCUGCCAAAAUUUUAAAUAUCGUGAUCCCUAGGGUAGAGGUUCUCACUCUAGGGCAGGGCCAAACUUGGCAUACAGUGUAUAUAUACAAAACAUUUCAAAAAUGGCUUUUUUGAUGCUAGUGAUACAAAAUUGAUAUUUAUAAGGAAUAAGGUAGUCCUUUAACUAAAAUUGUAAAUCUCAUAAAUGAAUGUGUAUAGGCACUUUUGAGGGACAUUUAUGUUUUAAGAACAUGUUUUACUUUAUAUUGUUGUUUAGCUUAGAUAUGUUGAACAGGAAUUUUUUAUAAACCUUUGAGGCUAGUGAUACUUUAACUAAUACUCAGGAGACUGAUGAGGUCUUUGGGACAUUUGUGUCAUAUUCUAUCUACCAGUAAUGCAUCUACAGUUUAUAUGAUUUUCAAAUAAAAUUGUUUAAGAAAGCUUA